rnacentral:rRNA from 1 species
UACGUAGGGGGCAAGCGUUGUCCGGAGUUACUGGGCGUAAAGCGCACGCAGGCGGUCUCUUAAGUUUGGAGUGACAGUUGGUGGCUUAACUGCCAAAGUGCUUCGAAAACUGAGAGACUUGAGGGCUUCAGAGGGACACGGAAUUCCGGGUGGAGUGGUGAAAUGCGUAGAGAUCCGGAGGAACACCGACGGCGUAGGCAGCGCCCUGGCCGUUUCCUGACGCUGAAGCACGAAAGCUGGGGGAGCAAACAGG